GACGAACGCUGGCGGCGGGCUUAACACAUGCAAGUCGAACGGAAAGGCCCUGCUUUUGUGGGGUGCUCGAGUGGCGAACGGGUGAGUAACACGUGAGUAACCUGCCCUUGACUUUGGGAUAACUUCAGGAAACUGGGGCUAAUACCGGAUAGGAGCUCCUGCUGCAUGGUGGGGGGUGGAAAGUUUCGGCGGUUGGGGAUGGACUCGCGGCUUAUCAGCUUGUUGGUGGGGUAGUGGCUUACCAAGGCUUUGACGGGUAGCCGGCCUGAGAGGGUGACCGGCCACAAUGGGACUGAGAUACGGCCCAGACUCCUACGGGAGGCAGCAGUGGGGAAUAUUGCACAAUGGGCGGAAGCCUGAUGCAGCAACGCCGCGUGCGGGAUGACGGCCUUCGGGUUGUAAACCGCUUUCGCCUGUGACGAAGCGUGAGUGACGGUAAUGGGUAAAGAAGCACCGGCUAACUACGUG
rnacentral:rRNA from 1 species